GAUGAACGCUGGCGGCGUGCCUAAUACAUGCAAGUCGAGCGAACUGAUUAGAAGCUUGCUUCUAUGACGUUAGCGGCGGACGGGUGAGUAACACGUGGGCAACCUGCCUGUAAGACUGGGAUAACUUCGGGAAACCGGAGCUAAUACCGGAUACGUUCUUUCCUCGCAUGAGGAAAGAUGGAAAGAUGGUUUCGGCUAUCACUUACAGAUGGGCCCGCGGCGCAUUAGCUAGUUGGUGGGGUAAUGGCCUACCAAGGCGACGAUGCGUAGCCGACCUGAGAGGGUGAUCGGCCACACUGGGACUGAGACACGGCCCAGACUCCUACGGGAGGCAGCAGUAGGGAAUCUUCCGCAAUGGACGAAAGUCUGACGGAGCAACGCCGCGUGAGCGAAGAAGGCCUUCGGGUCGUAAAGCUCUGUUGUCAGGGAAGAACAAGUGCCAGAGUAACUGCUGGCACCUUGACGGUACCUGACCAGAAAGCCACGGCUAACUACGUGCCAGCCGCCGCAGUAAAAC
rnacentral:rRNA from 1 species